AGGACGAACGCUGGCGGCGUGCCUAACACAUGCAAGUCGAACGGGGGUUUGCUUCGGUAGAACCUAGUGGCGAACGGGUGAGUAACGCGUAGGCAACCUGCCCCCCGGAUGGGACAACACCCCGAAAGGGGUGCUAAUACCGGAUACGAAGAUAAUACCGCAUGGUGUUAUUUUGAAAGAUGGCCUCUACAGGUAAGCUAUCGCCGGGGGGAUGGGCCUGCGUCCGAUUAGCUGGUUGGUGGGGUAACGGCCCACCAAGGCGACGAUCGGUAGCCGGUCUGAGAGGAUGAACGGCCACAUUGGGACUGAGACACGGCCCAGACUCCUACGGGAGGCAGCAGUGGGGAAUCUUCCGCAAUGGGCGCAAGCCUGACGGAGCAACGCCGCGUGAGUGAGGAAGUUUUUCGGAACGUUAAAAAGCUCUGUUGUACAUGACGAACGUGCGAUCUGUCAACAACGGAUGGCAGUGACGGUAGUGUACGAGGAAGCCACGGCUAACUACGUGCCAGCAGCUGC
rnacentral:rRNA from 1 species